GCAAACUUGGUCAUUUAGAGGAAGUAAAAGUCGUAACAAGGUUUCCGUAGGUGAACCUGCGGAAGGAUCAUUAUUGAGUUUAAGAAGGGUUGGCUUUCGUUGAAGGUCAACUCUUUCUUCUCUCUUCACCCAUUUGCUAUUAUAUUUUUUCAGUUGCUUUGGCAGGAUCGGGCCGACCGGCCUUCCCUGCCAAGGGACCCUUUAAACCCUUUUUAUCCAAUAAUCGGGAUGUCUUUUGUCUGAUUUAUUAUGACUUAAAAUAAGUUUAUAAAACUUUCAACAACGGAUCUCUUGGUUCUGGCAUCGAUGAAGAACGCAGC
rnacentral:misc_RNA from 1 species